rnacentral:rRNA from 1 species
CACGUAGGCACCAAGCGUUGUCCGGAUUUAUUGGGCGUAAAGAGCUCGUAGGCGGUUCGGUAAGUCGGGUGUGAAAACUUUGGGCUCAACCCAAAGCCUGCACUCGAUACUGCUGUGACUUGAGUCCGGUAGGGGAGUGGGGAAUUCCUGGUGUAGCGGUGAAAUGCGUAGAUAUCUGGAGGAAUACCGGUGGCGAAGGCGGCAUCCUGGACCGACAUUGACGCUGAGGAGCGAAAGCUAGGGGAGCAAACGGG